rnacentral:rRNA from 1 species
GUCCCAGACUCCUACGGGAGGCAGCAGUGGGGAAUAUUGCACAAUGGGGGGAACCCUGAUGCAGCGACGCCGCGUGGGUGAAGGAGUAUUUCGGUAUGUAAAGCCCUAUCAGCAGGGAAGAACAAUGACGGUACCUGACUAAGAAGCCCCGGCUAACUACGUGCCAGCAGCCGCGGUAAUACGUAGGGGGCAAGCGUUAUCCGGAUUUACUGGGUGUAAAGGGAGCGUAGACGGCAUGGCAAGUCAGAUGUGAAAGCCCGGGGCUCAACCCCGGGACUGCAUUUGAAACUGUCAGGCUGGAGUGCAGGAGAGGUAAGUGGAAUUCCUAGUGUAGCGGUGAAAUGCGUAGAUAUCAGGAGGAACACCGGCGGCGAAGGCGGCCUGCUGGACCGUGACUGACGUUGAGGCUCGAGAGCGUGGGGAGCAAACAGGAUUAGAUACCCGGGUA